rnacentral:rRNA from 1 species
CCCUUAGAUGUUCUGGGCCGCACGCGUGCUACACUGAUGCAUUCAACGAGUCUAAAACCUGAUCUGAUAGGGCUGGGUAAUCUUUUGAAAGUGCAUCGUGAUUGGGAUAGAUGAUUGCAAUUCUUCAUCUUCAACGAGGAAUGCCUAGUAAACGCAAGUCAUCAGCUUGCAUUGAUUACGUCCCUGCCCUUUGUACACACCGCCCGUCGCUCCUACCGAUUGAAUGAUCCGAUGAAUACCAUGGAUUGAGAGUACGAAUAGGUUCGCUUAUUUCUGCUGCUCGAGAAGUGGAGUAAAUCUUAUCAUUUAGAGGAAGGAGAAGUCGUAACA